rnacentral:rRNA from 1 species
CGAACGGCUGAGUAACACGUGGGCAACCUGCCCUUUGCACUGGGAUAGCCUCGGGAAACCGAGGUUAAUACCGGAUACUCCAUAUCCAUCGCAUGAUAGAUAUGGGAAAGCUCCGGCGGCAAAGGAUGGGCCCGCGGCCUGUUAGCUAGUUGGUGGGGUAGUGGCCUACCAAGGCAAUGAUGGGUAGCCGGGUUGAGAGACCGACCGGCCAGAUUGGGACUGAGACACGGCCCAGACUCCUACGGGAGGCAGCAGCG